CCUACGGGGGGCUGCAGUGGGGAAUAUUGCACAAUGGGCGCAAGCCUGAUGCAGCCAUGCCGCGUGUGUGAAGAAGGCCUUCGGGUUGUAAAGCACUUUCAGCGGGGAGGAAGGCGGUGAGGUUAAUAACCUCAUCGAUUGACGUUACCCGCAGAAGGAGCACCGGCUAACUCCGUGCCAGCAGCCGCGGUAAUACGGAGGGUGCAAGCGUUAAUCGGAAUUACUGGACGUAAAGCGCACGCAGGCGGUCUGUCAAGUCGGAUGUGAAAUCCCCGGGCUCAACCUGGGAACUGCAUUCGAAACUGGCAGGCUAGAGUCUUGUAGAGGGGGGUAGAAUUCCAGGUGUAGCGGUGAAAUGCGUAGAGAUCUGGAGGAAUACCGGUGGCGAAGGCGGCCCCCUGGACAAAGACUGACGCUCAGGUGCGAAAGCGUGGGGAGCAAACAGGAUUAGAUACCCGUGUAGUC
rnacentral:rRNA from 1 species